GUGCUCGGUUGGACAGCACAUAUAUUAAAAUUGGAAAGAUACAGAGAUUAGCAUGGCCCCUGCACAAGGAUGAAAC
rnacentral:snRNA from 1 species